rnacentral:rRNA from 1 species
AUUGAACGCUGGCGGCAGGCCUAACACAUGCAAGUCGAACGAGUGGCGGACGGGUGAGUAAUGUCUGGGAAACUGCCUGCUGGAGGGGGAUAACUACUGGCAACGGUAGCUAAUCCCGCCUACCAUCGGAUGUGCCCAGAUGGGCUUAGCUAGUAGGUGGGGUAAAGGCUCACCUAGGCGACGAUCCCUAGCUGGUCUGAGAGGAUGACCAGCCACACUGGAACGGAGACACGUUCCAGACUCCUACGGGAGGCAGCAGUGGGGAAUAUGGGACAAUGGGCGCAAGCCUGAUGCAGCCAUGCCGCGGGUAUGAAGAAGGCCUUCGGGUUGUAAAGUACUUUCAGCGGGGAGGCGUUACCCGCAGAAGAAGCACCGGAUAACUCCGUGACAGCAGCCGCGGUAAUUC